rnacentral:pre_miRNA from 1 species
UAUAAUAUUUUAACUCUUCAUCUUAUUUAAAUUUUUUUUAUGAUUCAUAUUUUUAUUCUUACUAGAUAAUAAAAUAUAAAUAAUACUUUAUACGUGACUAAUUUUUUUUAGUUUUUUAUAAAUUUUUUAAAUAAGACGAAUGGUUAAACAUUAGACAUGGAAA